AACGCGGAGCUAGACGAACUUUCAAAACGCGCCGAAGAGCUUCGAAAACGAGACGGAUGGUCCAAGUAUAAGCUCGUCGAGUCGGAUAUCUACAAGACCGAUCCGGAUCCAAUGCCAGCCAAUAUUAAGGUCUUAAUUGCUUUAAAUACCCUACCGCUUUGUCCUCUUAACACUAGAUAGGUUUAGGAUCAAGUUCGCGACUUGCUCGAGUCGAGAAACUCCGUGGAGACGACGACAACGCAGAGAGAUCAUGACAAAUCUGGAUAUGUGACGGUUAGUUUUUUUUUGAGUUUUUUCUUAGCACACUUACCCCCCUCACGAUUGAGAGUGUGAUUGUGUUUUGUGAAAUGUGGAAAUGACACGUGGAAUGUUUUGAGAAUAGUUUGAGAACAUUCAGUUUUAACGUUUACCGUCAUACUUAAAAACGAUACAUUUUUCAUUCGAAAGUGUUCCAUAAGGAUAUGUCACUUCAAAAUUUUAAGCGGCCAAACUCUAUUCUCAACUCCUAAAAAUAUCGAUCUGAAAUUUUUUUAAGUGCAAUUUUUCACAACUUUGAAUUCCUUUGGUAUUGCUCAAAAUGCUCUUUUUUGCAAAAUUUAAUGUUUUUUUUUCAGAACAGUUAGAAGUAGGUUAACAUGAUGGGAGAUUUUUGAAAAAAAAUUUCUGUAAAAAAUCUUAAAAUUGAAGUGACGAAAAUUGCAGAUUUUUUUCCAAAAAAAAAAAACUUCAAAAAUCUCCGAGAUUGUUUACUUACUUCUAAGCGUUCUGAAAAAUUGAAAGUUUGCGAAAAAAAAAAACAUUUGGAGCUAUUCUAAAGGCGUCCAGAAUAGUUCACAAAAAUGUUCCAACAAUACCAGUUUUCUUAAAUGUUGAAGUUUCAUUCGAAAGUAGAAUUUUAAAAUUUACGAUUUCCAAUUUUAAAUCCACGUAAUAUGAUGUCAUUUCCCAACAAAUAACCCAACAAACUUAAAUAAACCAAAAAGUUUGCAGUGAGCACUUUCACAAGUGCGCAUAAAUCCUCUAUUCUCUAUAAUUACACCCUUUGCAAAACAAAAAAAAAACGUUCCCCUCUCCUCUAUUUUUUUCAACUAACUAUUCAGCAGAGUUUUUAUUCUAACAGGAUGUCUCCACCGCAACGUGGAACUUCUCGACCGUGGAUUACUCGCCGAGAUCAGUGGUCAGUAUGAAUGGAGCAAGUCAUGAUAUUCUCAAGG
rnacentral:sRNA from 1 species